AGAGUUUGAUCCUGGCUCAGAUUGAACGCUGGCGGAAUGCUUUACACAUGCAAGUCGAACGGCAGCACGGGAGCUUGCUCCUGGUGGCGAGUGGCGAACGGGUGAGUAAUAUAUCGGAACGUACCUUUUAAUGGGGGAUAACUAGUCGAAAGAUUAGCUAAUACCGCAUACGCCCUGAGGGGGAAAGCGGGGGAUCGUAAGACCUCGCGUUAUUAGAGCGGCCGAUAUCUGAUUAGCUAGUUGGUGAGGUAAAGGCUCACCAAGGCGACGAUCAGUAGCUGGUCUGAGAGGACGACCAGCCACACUGGAACUGAGACACGGUCCAGACUCCUACGGGAGGCAGCAGUGGGGAAUUUUGGACAAUGGGCGCAAGCCUGAUCCAGCCAUUCCGCGUGAGUGAAGAAGGCCUUCGGGUUGUAAAGCUCUUUCGCAAGGGAAGAAACGAUCUGGACGAAUAAUCCAGGUUAAUGACGGUACCUUGAUAAGAAGCACCGGCUAACUACGUGCCGGCAGCCGCGGUAAUACGUAGGGUGCGAGCGUUAAUCGGAAUUACUGGGCGUAAAGCGUGCGCAGGCGGUUUUGUAAGUCAGAUGUGAAAUCCCCGGGCUCAACCUGGGAACUGCGUUUGAAACUACAAGGCUAGAGUAUGUCAGAGGGGGGUAGAAUUCCACGUGUAGCAGUGAAAUGCGUAGAGAUGUGGAGGAAUACCAAUGGCGAAGGCAGCCCCCUGGGAUAAUACUGACGCUCAUGUACGAAAGCGUGGGGAGCAAACAGGAUUAGAUACCCUGGUAGUCCACGCCCCUAACGAUGUCUACUAGUUGUUGGUGGAGUAAAAUCCAUAAGUAACGCAGCUAACGCGAGAAGUAAACCGCCUGGGGAAGUACGGGUCGCAAGAUUAAAAACUCAAAGGGAUUGACGGGGGCCCGCCACAACGGGUGGAUUAUGUGG
rnacentral:rRNA from 1 species